ACUGCUCAGUAACACGUGGACAACCUGCCCUUAGGACGGGUAUAAACCCGGGAAACUGGGUAUAAUACCCGAUAGGUCUCGAUUGCUGGAAUGCAUCGAGAUUUAAAGCUCCGGCGCCUAAGGAUGGGUCUGCGGCCUAUCAGGUAGUAGUGGGUGUAGCGUACCUACUAGCCUACGACGGGUACGGGUUGUGAGAGCAAGAGCCCGGAGAUGGAUUCUGAGACACGAAUCCAGGCCCUACGGGGUGCAGCAGGCGCGAAAACUUUACAAUGCGGGCAACCGUGAUAAGGAAACCCCGAGUGCCACCACAGGGUGGCUGUCCACCAGUGUAAAAAACUGGUGAAGAAAGGGCCGGGCAAGACCGGUGCCAGCCGCCGCGGUAACACCGGCGGCUCGAGUGGUAACCGUUAUUAUUGGGUCUAAAGGGUCUGUAGCCGGCCGGAUAAGUCUCUUGAGAAAUCUGGCAGCUUAACUGUCAGGCUUUCAGGAGAUACUGUCUGGCUCGAGGCCGGGAGAGGUGAGAGGUACUUCAGGGGUAGGGGUGAAAUCUUGUAAUCCUUGAAGGACCACCAGUGGCGAAGGCGUCUCACCAGAACGGACCUGACGGCAAGGGACGAAAGCUAGGGGCACGAACCGGAUUAGAUACCCGGGUAGUCCUAGCCGUAAACGAUACUCGCUAGGUGUCGGCCACGGUGCGACCGUUGUCGGUGCCGUAGGGAAGCCGUGAAGCGAGCCACCUGGGAAGUACGGCCGCAAGGCUGAAACUUAAAGGAAUUGGCGGGGGAGCAC
rnacentral:rRNA from 1 species